rnacentral:rRNA from 1 species
UCAGGACGAACGCUGGCGGCGUGCCUAACACAUGCAAGUCGAGCGAGGAGAUCCUUCGGGAUGAUCCUAGCGGCGGACGGGUGAGUAACACGUGGGCAACCUGCCUCAUAGAGAGGAAUAGCCUUCCGAAAGGGAGAUUAAUACCUCAUAACAUUGCAGUUUCGCAUGGAACAGCAAUUAAAGGAGUAAUCCGCUAUGAGAUGGGCCCCGCGGCGCAUUAGCUAGUUGGUGAGGUAACGGCUCACCAAGGCGACGAUGCGUAGCCGACCUGAGAGGGUGAUCGGCCACAUUGGGACUGAGACACGGCCCAGACUCCUACGGGAGGCAGCAGUGGGGAAUAUUGCACAAUGGGGGAAACCCUGAUGCAAGCAACGCCGCGUGAGUGAUGACGGCCUUCGGGUUGUAAAGCUCUGUCUUCAGGGACGAUAAUGACGGUACCUGAGGAGGAAGCCACGGCUAACUACGUGCCAGCAGCCGC